AGACGCCGGGGCCACCCGCAGCACGCAGAGCUUCUGGGAGCCGGUGGCAAGGCCGAAUUGGGAUGCAAACCAAAUGGACGUGGGUGACUGGCAGAAAACGCCUCCCACAAAUGGGAGGGAUUUCGGAGGGAACCGAAAGAAAGUUGUAGGCAAUUUGUGCGAGCAAGGGGCUCUUCUCCACACAGACACUCAGGGACCACAGUCUCCACCAUCUUAUAGAGGCACUUCCUUGAACAUGUGGUCCUCUCAGCGCCUGCAGCAGAAGAGAGCACUGGAGAGUGCCUGUCCUUGGAAUUAGUUCUUCUUCCCUAAUUAGAGUGAACUACUACAGCCACCCCAACCUUGAGCAACCAUCACUCUGAUCAAUCAGCAGCCAUCAACAUUGAGACAAGACUCUCCACCAGCAAAAAGAUUAUGACUUGUCCGGGUGCGGUGGCUCACACCUGUAAUCCCAGCACUUUGGGAGGCUGAGGCAGACAGAUCAUCUGAGGUCAGGAGUUCGAGACCAGCCUGACCAACAUUGUGAAACCUGUCUCUACUAAAAAUACAAAAAAUUAGCCGGGCAUGGUGGUAGGCACCUAUAAUCUCAGCUAUUUGUAAGGCUGAAGCAGGAGAAUUGCUUGAACCUGGGAGGUGGAGGUUGCAGUGAGCCGAGAUCACAUCAUUGCACUCCAGCCUGGGCAACAAGAGCAAAACUCCGUCUAAAAAAAAUAUAUAUAUAUAUAUGACUCACUGAAGGCCCACAUGAUCAUUCGCAAUUUUUAGCCAUAACGUAUUUUUAAAAUUAAAGUAUAUACAUUGAUGUUUUAGACAUAAUGGCAUUGUACUCUUAUUAGACUACAGCAUAGGGUAAACAUAACUCCUCUAUGCACUGGGAAAUAAAAAAAUCUGUGACUCACUUUAUUGCGACAUUUGCUUUAGUGCGCCAGUUGGAACCAAGUCUGCAAUCUCCCAGAGUAUGCCUGUGUAUAGUAAUAAUAAUCACAUACAUGCCCUGAGGUGGUUGCAGGAUAAUGGGGCAGAUUUCAUGGUGGGCUUCCAGAAUUCAUUUUAUGUUUGUGGUUUGCUUCACAUGACUACACUUAUGAAUGGAAUCUCCAUGAGACAAGGGUCUUUGUUUCACUCCCUGCUGUGUCUGAACUCUUAGAAUGGUGCUCAGCACACACAAAGGGUGACUUGGUGGCUGAGUGCAUCUUCCCUAGUUCAUUUGUGUGUAUAUAUAUAUGAUAGUAGUUAUAUGGUGACAUGGGAAAGAACAUUGGGCAAGGAAGUAGAACUGGAUUUGAGCUCCGCCCUGAUUUACCUUACUAUUUGGGUGAACUUGGCCAGUUACUUUAAUCCUUAUGAGCCCCAAUUACCUCAUCUGUGGAAUGGAGCAGUUACUGUGCUCCCUCUCUGGGGUCUUAUAAGAAUUUAAUGCCAAUGGGCUGUGAGAGAGCUAUGUAAACUCUGAAGCGCAUUAUUUGAUUAAAAGCUCUGGCUCAUAUGGCUGCCUUAGUUGUAAGAAAUAGAAGCUUGCAAAGAAACAGCAGUGAGGUCUUACUAUCAGGAUGCACAUAGCAAAAAAGGAAGCUAAGACUCUGACUUGUCCUGAGAGCCUUCAAAGAGUUGAAGUGAGGCACAGUUCAGGGAUGGGAAGGUUCUGAGGCUUUUCUACUGACAGGAUCAUUUUGGGCCCUCAGUUGGAGUUUGCAGACAUACUAUUUUAAGGUAAUAUAACAUCUCCUAAUAUUUGCCUUUACCUUUCCUACUUUGAUUGACAUCCUUCCUGCCUCCGUUUCCUGCUCCCCUGUGUAUUUUUCUCCUCCUCAGGGCUCCUGCUUCUGCAUAACUUCAGCUUAGUUAUAGCCCUUAGGACUUAGGAUCUGUCCAGCAUGUAUUCCAGAUCAAAUUCCUAAGAGAUAAUCUGACAGGCUCCAUUGAUUCCAUUUUCUCUUUUUUAGCUGAGCUUUUUCCACCAGGAUGCCUCAUGGGUCAGUGUCCACCCUGGUUCAAUCACCUGUGGCUAGGGGAUAAGUCUGUGGCUUCACUGUACACUGUCUUGGAUCACUCACUCUUGGGAAACCAGCCACCAUGUUAUGAGGACACUCAAGUUCUCUGUGAAGAGAUCCAUGUGAUGAGGAACUGAGAUCUCCUGCCAACAGCCGGAACCAACUUUCCAGUCAUGAGUGAGAUCUUAAAAGUAGAUCCUCCAGCCCAUAGUGAAGCCUUCAGUUGGUUUAUCCCCAGCUGACACCCUGACUGCAACCUCAUCAGAAACCCUGAUCCAGAAUUUCCCAGCUAAGCUGUGCCUGAAUUCCAGACUCACAGAAACUGUGAGAGAUAAUAAAAAUUGAUUUAGGCCUCUAAGUUUUA
rnacentral:lncRNA from 1 species